rnacentral:rRNA from 1 species
ACAGAGGUCCCGAGCGUUGUUCGGAUUCACUGGGCGUAAAGGGUGCGUAGGUGGUGAGGUGUGUCGGAUGUGAAAUCUCGGAGCUCAACUCCGAAACUGCAUUGGAAACUACCUUGCUAGAGGGUUGGAGGGGGGACUGGAAUACUUGGUGUAGCAGUGAAAUGCGUAGAUAUCAAGUGGAACACCAGUGGCGAAGGCGAGUCCCUGGACAACUCCUGACACUGAGGCACGAAAGCUAGGGGAGCAAACAGGAUUAGAUACCCUGGUAGUCCUAGCCGUAAACGGUGCAUGUUUGCUGUAAAAGGAAUCGACCCCUUUUGUGGCGGAGCUAACGCGUUAAACAUGCCGCCUGGGAAGUACGGUCGCAAGAUUA